rnacentral:rRNA from 1 species
UACGUAGAGUCCGAGCGUUGUCCGGAAUUAUUGGGCGUAAAGGGCUCGUAGGCGGUUCGUCACGUCGGGAGUGAAAACUCGGAGCUUAACUCCGAGCCUGCUUCCGAUACUGGCAGACUAGAGGUAGGCAGGGGAGAGCGGAACUCCUGGUGUAGCGGUGGAAUGCGCAGAUAUCAAGAGGAACACCUGAGGUGAAGACGGGUUGCUGGGCUGACACUGACGCUGAGGCGCGAAAGCUAGGGUAGCAAACGGG